rnacentral:rRNA from 1 species
UAAGGAAUAUUGGACAAUGGUCGCAAGACUGAUCCAGCCAUGCCGCGUGCAGGAAGACGGCCAUAUGGGUUGUAAACUGCUUUUGUACCAGAGAAAACCUAUCUACGUGUAGAUAGCUGAUAGUAUGGUAAGAAUAAGCAUCGGCUAACUUCGUGCCAGCAGCCGCGGUAAGACGAAGGAUGCAAGCGUUAUCCGGAUUCAUUGGGUUUAAAGGGUGCGUAGGCGGGCUUGUAAGUCAGUGGUGAAAUCUCUCAGCUUAACUGAGAAACUGCCAGUGAUACCGCAGGCCUAGAGUAUAGAUGACGUUGGCGGAAUAUGACAUGUAGUGGUGAAAUACUUAGAUAUGUCAUAGAACACCGAUUGCGAAGGCAGCUAACGAAACUAUAACUGACGCUGAGGCACGAAAGUGCGGGGAUCAAACA